rnacentral:rRNA from 1 species
UGUCCAGGAUGAAGCUUCAUUAAACUGAAGUGGAGGUCCGAACCGACCGAUGUUGAAAUAUCGGCGGAUGAGAUGGGUAUAGGGGUGAAAAGCCAAUCGAACCAGGAGAUAGCUUGUUCUCUUCGAAAUGCAUGUAGGUGCAGCCUACAGUUUAGAUCAAUGGGGGUAGAGCACUGAAUGCUCUAGGGGUCCGAAAGGAUUACCAAAAGCAAUCAAACUCCGAAUACCAUUUGAUUUUACUGUGGAGUGAGGCAUUGGGUGACAAGAUCCUAUGCCGAGAGGGAAAGAGCCCAGACCAACAGCUAAGGUCCCCAAAUAACUUCUGAGUGUGAAAGGAUGUUAGGUAUCUAAGACAGCCAGGAGGUUGGCUUUAAAGCAGCCAUCCUUUAAAGAGUGCGUAAUAGCACACUGGUCGAGAGACCUUGCGCCGAAGAUUCAACGGGGCUAAGAAGUUUACCGAAGCUAUGGAACGAGAGUUGGUAGGAGAGCGUACUGUAAGUCGUUGAAGGUGUUUUGUAAAGAACGCUGGAGAUAUCAGUAGUGAGGAUGCAGGCAUCAGUAGCGUAAAAGGUAGGUGAGAAUCCUACCCACCGAAAGUCUAAGGUUUCCAGGGGAAGGUUCGUCCGCCCUGGGUUAGUCGGGGCCUAACACGAAGCUAAAUAGCGUAGUGGAAGGACAACAGGUUAAUAUUCCUGUACUAGUUGUAACUGUUUGAAAGAUGGAGUGACACAGAAAGGUAUCUACGCUGACUGUUGGAUUAGUCAGUUUAAGCUUGAAGUCUGUCUAUAUAGGCAAAUCCGUAUAGAUAAAGAUGAGGAGUGAUGAGGUAAGGUAGAGAUCCUACGCUGUCGAGAAAAGCUUCUAUUUAGGUUAUGACUACCCGUACCACAAACCGACACAGGUAGACAGGAUGAGAAUUCUAAGGUGAGCAAGAUAAUUUUCGUUAAGGAACUCUGCAAAAUUACUCUGUAACUUCGGGAGAAAGAGUGCCUGUUUUAGUUGGCGUGCACAAGCGGCACAAAGGCGAGACAGGUCGCAGUGAAAAGAUCCGGGCAACUGUUUAUCAAAAACACAAGUCUCUGCUAAGCUGAAAGGCGACGUAUAGGGGCUGAGACCUGCCCAGUGCUGGAAGGUUAAGGGGAUUGCUGCAAGGCGAGAACUGAAGCCCCAGUGAACGGCGGCCGUAACUCUAACGGUCCUAAGGUAGCGAAAUUCCUUGUCGGGUAAAUUCCGACCCGCAUGAAAGGUUUAAUGAUCCGGGUGCUGUCUUGACGAAAAACUUGGCGAAGUUGUAUUGUGGGUAAAGAUACCCACUUUCCGCAGCAGGACGAUAAGACCCCGUGGAGCUUUACUGUAGCUUGAUAUUGUAUUUUGGUGACAUAUGUAUAGGAUAGUUGGGAGACUAUGAUUCUAGGGCGCUAGCUUUGGAGGAGUCAACCUUGGAAUACCAACCAUGUGUUAGCGGGAUACUAACUUGUGGAUACAAGGACAGUGUUAGGUAGGCAGUUUGACUGGGGCGGUCGCCUCCUAAAAAGUAACGGAGGCGUGCAAAGGUUCCCUCAAAACGGUUGGAAAUCGUUUGUUGAGUGCAAAGGCAAAAGGGAGCUUGACUGUAAGAGAGACAUCUCGAGCAGGGUCGAAAGACGGUCUUAGUGACCCGGUGGCACAGUAUGGAAUGGCUAUCGAUCAACGGAUAAAAGUUACCCCGGGGAUAACAGGCUUAUACUUCCUGAGAGUUCAUAUCGACGGGAGUGUUUGGCACCUCGAUGUCGGCUCAUCACAUCCUGGAGCAGAAGAAUGUUCCAAGGGUUGGGCUGUUCGCCCAUUAAAGUGGUACGCGAGCUGGGUUCAGAACGUCGUGAGACAGUUCGGUUUCUAUCCGCUGUGGACGCAAAGCAUUGAGAAGAUCUAUUCUUAGUACGAGAGGACCGGAAUGGACAAACCAAUGAUGUACCAGUUGUUACGCCAGUAGCAUCGCUGGGUAGUCACGUUUGGAAAGGAUAAACACUGAAAGCAUCUAAGUGUGAAGCCUACUUCAAGAUGAGUGCUUAUGAAGACCUUAUAGACUAUGAGGUUGAUAGGUAGCAGGUGUAAGUUUUGUAAGAAAUUAAGCUGAGCUAUACUAAUAUCUUCUAACUAUUUGUUGA